rnacentral:rRNA from 1 species
UGGCCUUGACAUGUCCGGAAUCCUGCAGAGAUGCGGGAGUGCCUUCGGGAAUCGGAACACAGGUGCUGCAUGGCUGUCGUCAGCUCGUGUCGUGAGAUGUUGGGUUAAGUCCCGCAACGAGCGCAACCCUUGUCCUUAGUUGCCAGCACGUAAUGGUGGGAACUCUAAGGAGACUGCCGGUGACAAACCGGAGGAAGGCGGGGACGACGUCAAGUCAUCAUGGCCCUUAUGGGAUGGGCUACACACGUGCUACAAUGGGGGGUACAAAGAGCAGCCAACUGGCGACAGUGCGCGAAUCUCAUAAAACCUCUCGUAGUCCGGAUCGGAGUCUGCAACUCGACUCCGUGAAGUCGGAAUCGCUAGUAAUCGUGAAUCAGAAUGUCACGGUGAAUACGUUCCCGGGCCU